GCCGGGAUGGCGGAAUUGGCAGACGCAGCGGACUCAAAAUCCGCCGGUGCUUAGCACCUUGGGGGUUCAACUCCCCCUCCCGGCACCA
rnacentral:tRNA from 1 species